rnacentral:tRNA from 1 species
GCGGAAAUGGCGGAAUUGGCAGACGCGCCAGAUUCAGGUUCUGGUGGGGGAAACCCCGUGGAGGUUCAAGUCCUCUUUUCCGCACCA